rnacentral:miRNA from 1 species
UUUGGGAGGCUGAGGCGGGAGGAUCACUUGAGCCCAGGAGUUCAAGACCAGCCUGGGCAACAAAGUGAGACCUCGUCUCUACAAAAA